ACCUUACCAGCCCUUGACAUCCCCGAUCAGGAUUAUCAGAGAUGAUGAUUGUCGGUUCGGCCGGAUCGGUGACAGGUGCUGCAUGGCUGUCGUCAGCUCGUGUCGUGAGAUGUUGGGUUAAGUCCCGCAACGAGCGCAACCCUCGCCCUUAGUUGCCAUCAUUAAGUUGGGCACUCUAAGGGGACUGCCGGUGAUAAGCCGAGAGGAAGGUGGGGAUGACGUCAAGUCCUCAUGGCCCUUACGGGCUGGGCUACACACGUGCUACAAUGGUGGUGACAGUGGGCAGCGAGACCGCGAGGUCGAGCUAAUCUCCAAAAGCCAUCUCAGUUCGGAUUGCACUCUGCAACUCGAGUGCAUGAAGUUGGAAUCGCUAGUAAUCGUGGAUCAGCAUGCCACGGUGAAUACGUUCCCGGGCCUUGUACACACCGCCCGUCACACCAUGGGAGUUGGCUUUACCCGAAGGUGCCGCGCUAACCGCAAGGAGGCAGGCAACCACGGUAGGGUCAGCGACUGGGGUGAAGUCGUAACAAGGUAGCCGUAA
rnacentral:rRNA from 2 species